rnacentral:rRNA from 1 species
GGACGAACGCUGGCGGCGUGCCUAACACAUGCAAGUCGAGCGAUGAAGUUUCUUCGGGAACGGAUUAGCGGCGGACGGGUGAGUAACACGUGGGCAACCUGCCUUAUAGAGGGGAAUAGCCUUCCGAAAGGAAGAUUAAUACCGCAUAAGAUUGUAGCUUCGCAUGAAGUAGCAAUUAAAGGAGCAAUCCGCUAUAAGAUGGGCCCGCGGCGCAUUAGCUAGUUGGUGAGGUAACGGCUCACCAAGGCGACGAUGCGUAGCCGACCUGAGAGGGUGAUCGGCCACAUUGGGACUGAGACACGGCCCAGACUCCUACGGGAGGCAGCAGUGGGGAAUAUUGCACAAUGGGCGCAAGCCUGAUGCAGCCAUGCCGCGUGUAUGAAGAAGGCCUUCGGGUUGUAAAGUACUUUCAGCGGGGAGGAAGGGAGUAAAGUUAAUACCUUUGCUCAUUGACGUUACCCGCAGAAGAAGCACCGGCUA